rnacentral:ncRNA from 1 species
ACAAUGAAGAGUUUGAUCCUGGCUCAGGAUGAACGCUAGCGGCAGGCCUAACACAUGCAAGUCGAGGGGUAACGUGAGUGCUUGCACUUGACGAC